GACGAACGCUGGCGGCGUGCUUAACACAUGCAAGUCGAACGGAAAGGCCCUGCUUUUGUGGGGUGCUCGAGUGGCGAACGGGUGAGUAACACGUGAGUAACCUGCCCUUGACUUUGGGAUAACUUCAGGAAACUGGGGCUAAUACCGGAUAGGAGCUCCUGCUGCAUGGUGGGGGUUGGAAAGUUUCGGCGGUUGGGGAUGGACUCGCGGCUUAUCAGCUUGUUGGUGGGGUAGUGGCUUACCAAGGCUUUGACGGGUAGCCGGCCUGAGAGGGUGACCGGGGGAAGUGGGGAAGAGGAACGGACCAGGGGCAGAAGGGAGACAGAAGUAGGGAGUGGUGGAGAAGGGGCGGAAGGCUGAUUCAGCAACGCCGGGUGAGGGAGAAGGGACGUAGGGGGGAAAGACGAAAUAGCCUGUGAAGAAGCGUGAGCCACGGGACGGGGUAAAGAAGCAGAGGCGAACAAAAUC
rnacentral:rRNA from 1 species